CAGGCCAGAGCCUGCUCAACUGCUGGCAUAUGCUGUCCAUGCGUCUUACAGGCCGGCUCUGUGUCCCUCACUGGGGGCCAGAGCAGCUUCGUGACCUUCAGGCCAGCUGGAAGCUAGAGUCAUUGUGGCAGGAAACAAGUUCUGGAGUGAGAAAUCAGUACUGAAGUAAAACAACCAUCUUGAGAGCAAGAAACUAAAUGGUGGGUAAAAAAGUUUCCUCUCCUGUUAUGUGAGCAAAAUGAGUCUUAAC
rnacentral:lncRNA from 1 species